rnacentral:rRNA from 1 species
GACGAACGCUGGCGGCGUGCUUAACACAUGCAAGUCGAACGGUGAAGCGCCUUCCUUUUUGGUGGGUGUGGAUGAGUGGCGAACGGGUGAGUAACACGUGAGUAACCUGCCCCCUUCUUCUGGAUAACCGCAUGAAAGUGUGGCUAAUACGGGAUAUUCUGGGUCUGUCGCAUGAUGGGUCUGGGAAAGAUAUUGUUUCGGUGGGGGAUGGGCUCGCGGCCUAUCAGCUUGUUGGUGGGGUGAUGGCCUACCAAGGCGGUGACGGGUAACCGGCCUGAGAGGGUGGACGGUCACACGGGGACUGAGACACGGCCCAGACUCCUACGGGAGGCAGCAGUGGGGAAUAUUGCACAAUGGGCGCAAGCCUGAUGCAGCGACGCCGCGUGAGGGAUGGAGGCCUUCGGGUUGUGAACCUCUUUCGCCAGUGAAGCAGGCCUGCCUCGUUUGUGGGUGGGUUGAUGGUAGCUGGAUAAGAAGCGCCGGCUAACUACGUG